UACUUAUUCUACAAUUUCUUUCAGAAUAAACCUGUAUAGGAGAAUUCGAACACAGAAAAAGACUAAGUGCAUGAGCUUUACUUGUUAGAAUCACACAAUUAACUAUAUUUCGAACCACUAAAACACCAAGAAAUACUAUAAUGCUUCUUUUUAGUAACAAUAUUCCUUUAUCAACUGAUAACAAUAGUGUGUAACCUUGCACUCUUAAAAGACUGCUCAAUAUUCAUAAAUUCCAUCCA
rnacentral:lncRNA from 1 species